UAGUUACCAGUUCUGAUGACCAACAUCAUCUUCAGAAAGCAAUCGAACAAAUGUUUCUUGGUGUUCAUCAAAAAAAGCCAGCCUUUAUAAUCACACUGACAGCAACAAAAUUCCCACUUGCGACGAAGGAAAUUGGGGGAUGAGAAGAGAAAACUCUUUGAGUCAAUCAAGAGCUACAAUGAACAGGUUCCAGAUGAGGAGCGCAUCGCCGAGGAGAAGGUGGAGAAUGGACUCUGUGUGGUGGGAGGAGACAGUGGGGCAGACAGUCUCAUAUGGCCAUGGGAAGUGAACAACAGUGACAGUUUAAGUGACAAGGGUCAUCGAGGGCUACUGUGUCUUCUGAAAAAAAAACUGGCAGAUGUGCAGGAGAGGUUCCAGGCUGUGUGCUUCAGUUACAGCCAGGCUUUAGGACCAAGUGCUGCUUCUAUCCUUGAGGACGUACCCGAGGAGAUACUGGGGGACUCUGUAGAGGUUCAUCAUGGGAGCUCCGAUGACAGUAAUGAAGAUGUGUAAAUAUGUGGAUGUGUAAAUAUGUGGAUGUAUUUGUACGUUUCCUAUUACUAUGCCAACAAAAGGAAUUAAUUUAGUGCGAACUGAACAUCAGCUCCCUCACCAAGAAAGAGGAUGUACUU